ACGGACAAAGUACAGUAACCGUUAGCUACAGUCUGAAGUGACCAAACCAGCUACGUUAACUUAGCAUCGUGGAGAAGUUGAUCGCAUUGGCAUUUGAGAUUAUGAAGAGACCACUAAGACCAAGUCGGCGUUUUCGUGCCAUUUGUUUUAUUCCCAUAUUGUUCGUUUACCUGAAAAAGCCCGUAAGCAAUCCAGUUAGCUAACGUUAGCUAAACUGCGCUAGCUAAUCAUUUGAAGAAGUUACCUAAUAAAAAUGGGCUGGUGUCCAUUGCGUUGCUGUAAAUUGUAGACUGCGCUGUCAGAAAGCGUUUGGACCGUAGGAACACAACGUCAAUACGCCACCGGUCUGCAGCAUUCAAAGCUCGUCUGUCUCUCCAUCGAAGGGCACAGCAUCCAUCUCCAUAUGAAUGCUGCUGGGUUCACUGCUGCCCACCCAGCCAAUGGGAGUGCGGUUGAAGGAAGGCCGGCAGCCGAUGUCAUGCUGGUACACCACUGCAGGUUCAGGCUCCUCUUUGAUUGCCUCAGCUUCUGGCAGCUGGAAUUUCAUGAACUGGUUGGCCUUCUCAAAGCCUCCAAAGGGCAUGGCAGUCCUAGCAAAGCAAGAGAAGUGAUUGGAUUUUUUCCACGAGCUCCGCUCUCACCAUAGACUCACUGCUGAAGAUGUCAGGAUUGUUCUCGUAGAUGAACCUCUCCACUCUCUUCUGCCUCAUCUUGAACAUCUUGGAGCCACGGUUGUUCUGCAGGGAAAGCUCCUCCAGCAUGAUGUCUUUGGGAGUCCUGAUUUUUGUUCCCAGGUCGAACUCAGAUGCCUCUGGCUCUGACUCAUAUUCUAGCAAACCUGCUGAGCUACCCGCCUUACCUUCGCCACCUGGAGCGGUUUCUGAUGCUCCAAACCUCCCUGGAGACGAAAGCCCCACGGUGCUCCACCAGACAAUGCCUUUUAACCUGUUGAUAGAGGCUGGAUGAUUCCCUUGCUAGAGCAACGCUGCAACUAUCAAUGCUGCAGGAGGUUACCAAUGAUAGCUGCUCCUUUUGGCAGCCUUGCUCUGCACCUGUCUCCAGACCUCAGGACAGCAACCAAGAUCAGUCCUGGGUCAGACAAAUGUCACCCUCUCUCCUGGUGAUGGUAUCAGAUCUACCAGAACGCCACAGCUAAAGCAAAUUCUCAACAACAAGAGAGCUGUGGCUUCAGUAGACAGCCCCAUACAACAAGUCAGGAAGAGGUCUGUUAAUUCAUUCUUUCCAGGACAGAAGUUGGCUGUCUUUCGAGAAAAGUAAAAAGCCCAAUUCCCCCUCAUACGCUGAACUCCUGACCCCAGUUUGUGACAGACUGUGCUGCAUCUCUCUACCAGGACUCCCGCUAUCCUGGGAGAGAUGAAUCCUGUGUCAUCUGCUUCAUGACACAGAGAUGGCAUCGCGCCAGGUGGCCCCUAAUAACCUCCAUGUGCUGUCACUAGUACUGUUGUGGUGGCAGCCCGGCUGACGGUGAGUGUCCUGUUUAUUUCUCCUUUUUUUGCUUGUGAUUGUUUUCCCUGGUGUUCUGUUUUUUCCUGUACUCUGCCUGCCUCCCUGUGUCUCCUCCCCUGCGUGUGCUCUCCCUGUCUCUCUCUCUCUGCUCCUGAGCCCAGCCAACGACCCGCACCUGCACCUCAUCAGUCACCUCCUCUGCCUACCACACCUGCCAGCAAUCAGCCUCAUCUCUGACAAUACUUGUACCCCGGUUCUCCAGUGAACCACUGCUUGAUCGUCGUUGCUCCUUGAUCACUCAAGCUCCCAUGUAACCUGCAUGAUGUUUCCCUGUUCUUGGUUUUCCCUGAGUCAAUAACCUCUCUUCCUCGGCCCCUAGUGUCCCCGGGCUCUCUAGUCUCAGUCUCCUCGGUUCCCUGUGCAUGUGUUUUCCCGGCAUCCACCUCUCCCUCAACUCCAGUCCCUCAACCCCUUCUUUCCCCAGAUAAAACCUGUUAAUCUUGAGCGUUGCAUUUGGGUCCACUCUGUCUACCUCACAACAGGUACCUUGGCACUACACUGUGUGCAAAAUUAUUAAGCAAGUUGUAUUUUUGAGGAUUAAUUUUAUUAUUGAACAAAUACCGUGCUCUCAGUCAUUCCAAAAUGUUAAUAAACCCUCAAUCCUGAAUAUUUAAGAAAGCAAAAGUGAGGUUUUGGCUUUCUUAGGAGAAUAUGUGUGCACAAUUAUUAGGCAACACUUAAUGUGCAGAAGUAUUACGCAGCAAAAUGAAAAUUUUCCCAUCUCACUUUUUUUUUAAAUAAACAGUUUAUUUUAAUCUGUUAAAGUGAGAAUUACAGAAACAACUCAGUUUACAAAUAAACAUUUGACAUUUAAAAAAAAAAAUAGAUCAGUGACCAAUAUAGCCACCCUUCUUUUCAACAGUUAGAAGCCUUCCAUUCAUGGAGUCUGUCAGUUUCUUGAUCUGUUGAUGAUCAACUUUUUGUGCAGCAGCCACCACAGCCUCCCAUACACUGUUCAGAGAGGUACUGUUUUCCUUCACUGUAAAUCUCCCGUUUAAGAAGGGCCCACAAGUUCUCAAUAGGGUUUAAAUCAGGUGACGAAGGGGGCCAUGUCAUAAUUCUUUCAUCUUUAAGGCCUUUACUUGCUAGCCACGCAGCGGAGUACUUCGAUGCAUGCGAUGGAGCAUUGUCCUGCAUAAAAAUCAUGGACAUCUUGAAAGAUGUAGACUUUUUUUCUGUACCACUGCUUGAAGAAAGUAUCUUCUAAAAACUGGUAGUAGGUUUGGGAGUUCAUUUUGAGUCCAUCUUCAACCCGAAAAGGUCCAACUAGCUCAUCUUUAAUAAUACCAGCCCAUACCAUUAACCCACCUCCACCUUGCUGUCGUCAUAGUCGAAGUGGAGCUCUGUGCCCAUUACUGAUCCAGCCACGGGUCCAUCCAUCUGGUCCGUCUAGAGUCACUCUCAUCUCAUUAGUCCAUAAAACCUUUGAAAAAUCUGUCUUCAGAUAUUUCCUGGCCCAGUCUUGACGUUUCAACUUAUGUUUCUUGUUCAGUGGUGGUCGGAUUUCAGCCUUCCUUACCUUGGCCAUGUCUCUGAGCACUGAACACCUUGUACUUCUGGGCACUCCAGGUAGGUUGCAGUUCUGGAAUAUGACAGCACUGGAGGAUAAUGGGUUCCUGGUCGCUUCACGUUUGAUUCGUCUCAAAUCUUUGGAAGUUAAUUUGCGUUUUUUUUUUCUCAACACGUUUCUUACGACUCUGUUGAGGUUUUGCUACAAAAUGUUUGAUGGUUCUGUGAUCACGCCCCAAUAUCUCAACAAUUUCUAGAGUACUGCAUCCCUCUGAAAGACUUUUUACAAUUUUUGACUUUUCUGAGUCAGUUAAAUCUCUUUUUUGGCACAUUUUGCCUGAGGAAAAGAAGCUGCCUAAUAAUUAUGCACACCUGAUAUAGGGUGUUUUUUCUCCUUAGGCCACACCCUCCCUCAUUACACAAAAACAUAUCACCUGAAAUGCUUAAAUCCAAUAAGCAUUCAAGUUUAUACAGCUUGGAGUUGGAAAAAAUGCAUAAAAAUGAUGAUACGGUCAAAAUACUCACUUGCCUAAUAAUUCUGCACACAGUGUACAGUGUUGGUCCAAAGUGUGAUGGCAUGAUAACUUGGCAUGAUAAACUCAACCAUGUUACACUGCCAUAGUGGUGAUAAAACUGGAUUUCGGAGUUUAACUUUUUAUUAUGCAAAGUUGCCAGGUAGCGCGCCAGCCCUGCAUUCUGAGUUAGCAGGGGAUCCAUACGUAUCUUCCAGCCGCAGAAACAUUGCGAAAUAGACUCAGAUUUGAGAUGGACCUCUGUUGUUUCUGUCUGAAGCCAGAAACUACUGAACAUCUUUUCUUUUCGUGUCAAAUUACAUUACAGUUCUGGCAACAGCAGAUCUUAUUAUACAACGAUAACCUGUCCAAGGAUAUAUGUGAGAUGGUUAACAUCAUCAUAAUUAUGGGAAAAUAUCAUAUUCACAUAUGCAAAUGGAAGAAGCAAAAACCUAUGUUGAAUUGUUUCAGGAAUGAAUUAAAGAAUUAUUUAUAUUCCUUACAAGUAUUGUUGGAUACACACCAGCCAAUACAAAAAUUGUGUCACACUAUGCUGCAAUAUUUAGUGUUUAAUUAAGGAUAAACAGAUACAAAUCACCUGGAUUACCUCUGUUAUAGGUCUAGAGUGAUAACUGGUUCUCAGAUGUAACUUAUGUGUAGUUAUAUACAAUCACCAAUAUGUCUACUCUCAGCUAAAACUUGAGAUAGACUCUCAAAACUACAAUGUAUGACAUAGUAAAGUUACGGUGACACAGAAUGAAGAGCUAAACAAUAACUGUUGAGUGAAUGGAAAUAAUGUGCCUUGAUUAUAAUUUCAUAAUUAUCAAUUUUUUUUUUUUUAUUUUGUAUUUUUUUGUGUAUGUAAAUUUACUAUCACUAGUAUUGUUGUUAUUAUUUUUUACUGGAGCCUUGCUGUUCUCUUAUGUUUGUAUGGUUUUGAAGAAUGCAAAUAACUUCCUGACUUCCUGAGAUUUUGUACAAUUGUGAAUUGAAGAAAAAAAAUAAUAAAAAAAUAUGUAUCAGUGAGA